CAAGUCGCGUGACCUAGACCCGAAGCGAAGUGAUCUAUCCAUGGCCAGGUUGAAGCGCGGGUAAGACCGCGUGGAGGACCGAACCCACCAGGGUUGAAAACCUGGGGGAUGAGCUGUGGAUAGGGGUGAAAGGCCAAUCAAACUUCGUGAUAGCUGGUUCUCCCCGAAAUGCAUUUAGGUGCAGCGUCAUGUGUUUCUUACCGGAGGUAGAGCUACUGGAUGGCCAAUGGGCCCCACAAGGUUACUGACGUCAACUAAACUCCGAAUGCCGGUAAGUGAGAGCAUGGCAGUGAGACUGCGGGGGAUAAGCUUCGUAGUCGAAAGGGAAACAGCCCAGAUCACCGGCUAAGGCCCCUAAGCGUGUGCUAAGUGGAAAAGGAUGUGGAGUUGCCCAGACAACCAGGAGGUUGGCUUAGAAGCAGCCACCCUUGAAAGAGUGCGUAAUAGCUCACUGGUCAAGUGAUUCCGCGCCGACAAUGUAGCGGGGCUCAAGCACACCGCCGAAGCCGUGACAUAUGCGCAAUAUCUAGGCCUUCGUGGUCCAGGAGCGUAGAUGGGUAGGGGAGCGUCGUGUGGCGAGCGAAGCAGCGGGGUAACCCAGCUGUGGACGCCACACGAGUGAGAAUGCAGGCAUGAGUAGCGAAAGACGGGUGAGAAACCCGUCCGCCGAAUGACCAAGGGUUCCAGGGCCAGGUUAAUCCGCCCUGGGUAAGUCGGGACCUAAGGCGAGGCCGACAGGCGUAGUCGAUGGACAACGGGUUGAUAUUCCCGUACCGGCGAAAAACCGUCCAUGCCGAAUGUGAGGAAGCUAAGUGCCCGAAGCGACGUCGCCGCCUUGUGCGGUGUAGUUCGUGGAGCGCACGACCCGAUUCAUUAGUAGGCAAGCGUAUUAACAGGAGUGACGCAGAAGGGUAGCCACCGCGUGCGCGAUGGUAGUCCACGUCCAAGGGUGUAGGGCGAAGUGUAGGCAAAUCCGCACUUCAUGAAGCCUGAGACCUGAUGGUGACAGCAAUAGCUGGAAGAGGGUGAUCCCAUGCUGCCGAGAAAAGCUUCGACGCGAGGUUUCAGCCGCCCGUACCCUAAACCGACUCAGGUGGUCAGGUAGAGAAUACCAAGGCGAUCGAGAGAAUCGUGGUUAAGGAACUCGGCAAAAUGCCCCCGUAACUUCGGGAGAAGGGGGGCCUGAAGGGUGUACUCACUUGCUGAGGAAGCCCAGAGGGCCGCAGAGACCAGGGAGAAGCGACUGUUUACUAAAAACACAGGUCCGUGCGAAGUCGUAAGACGAUGUAUACGGACUGACGCCUGCCCGGUGCUGGAACGUUAAGGGGACGGGUUAGUCGAAAGGCGAAGCUCAGAACUUAAGCGCCAGUAAACGGCGGUGGUAACUAUAACCAUCCUAAGGUAGCGAAAUUCCUUGUCGGGUAAGUUCCGACCUGCACGAAUGGCGUAACG
rnacentral:rRNA from 1 species